rnacentral:rRNA from 1 species
AGUGAACGCUGGCGGUAGGCCUAACACAUGCAAGUCGAACGGCAGCACAGUAAGAUCUUGCUCUUACGGGUGGCGAGUGGCGGACGGGUGAGGAAUACAUCGGAAUCUACUUUUUCGUGGGGGAUUACGUAGGGAAACUUCCACUAAUACCUCAUACUGCCUACGGCUUAACGCAUGUUUUCUUCGGACCUUGCCCGCUUUACUGAGCCGAUGUCGGAUUAGCUAGUUGGCGGGGUAAAGGCCAACCAAGGCAACAAUCAGUAGCUGGUCUGCGAGGAUGACAGGCAAAACGGGAACGGAGAAACGGCCAAGACUCCUAAGGGAGGAAGCAGUGGGGAAUAUUGGAAAAGGGGGGAAAGCCGGAUCAGGAAAGACCGCGGGGGUGAAGAAGGCUUUCGGGUUGUAAAGCCUUUUUGUUGGGAAAGAAAAGCAGCAGGGUAAUAACCUGAUGUUCUGACGGUACCCAAAGAAUAAGCAACGGCUAACUUCGUG